UACGUAGGGGGCAAGCGUUGUCCGGAUUUAUUGGGCGUAAAGAGCGUGUAGGCGGCUGGGUAGGUCCGUUGUGAAAACUCGAGGCUCAACCUCGAGACGCCGAUGGAAACCCUCCAGCUAGAGUCCGGAAGAGGAGAGUGGAAUUCCUGGUGUAGCGGUGAAAUGCGCAGAUAUCAGGAAGAACACCCGUGGCUAAGGCGGCUCUCUAGUACGGUACUGACGCUGAGACGCGAAGGCGUGGGGAGCGAACAGG
rnacentral:rRNA from 1 species